GGGGCCGACCGGAUUUGACAGCAAGGUAAAUGGAUGAGUAAGCAUGCCGAGCUUUGCAACAACGCUCGUUAAUCCCUGUUGCGAACAAUAACUGGCGAAAAUUCUUUCGCUCUCGCUGCUUAAUCGAAGUACAGUAGAUUAAGCUCUCCUGGCACAAGGUGCCGGGACGGGACACCUCUCGGGAACCUUGCCUUUCGGUUGCCGGUUCAGAGGUGCUGGAAAGAAAGGCUAGUUGUGCCACGCCUCGCUGACACAACGAAAAAAAACAGAGGCUAAGGAGCAACUCGGCAGUCCGGUGCCAGGUUUCUCCCGACAAUCAAUACCGGACUAAGCAUGUAGAAAGCUCUUCUGUUUCUUGUUUGGACGAGGGUUCGACUCCCUCCGGCUCCACCU
rnacentral:tmRNA from 1 species